rnacentral:rRNA from 1 species
AUUGAACGCUGGCGGCAUGCCUUACACAUGCAAGUCGAACGGUAACAGGUCUUCGGAUGCUGACGAGUGGCGAACGGGUGAGUAAUACAUCGGAACGCGCCUAGUAGUGGGGGAUAACUACUCGAAAGAGUGGCUAAUACCGCAUGAGAUCUACGGAUGAAAGCAGGGGAUCGCAAGACCUUGUGCUACUAGAGCGGCCGAUGGCAGAUUAGGUAGUUGGUGGGGUAAAAGCUUACCAAGCCGACGAUCUGUAGCUGGUCUGAGAGGACGAUCAGCCACACUGGGACUGAGACACGGCCCAGACUCCUACGGGAGGCAGCAGUGGGGAAUUUUGGACAAUGGGCGCAAGCCUGAUCCAGCAAUGCCGCGUGCAGGAUGAAGGCCUUCGGGUUGUAAACUGCUUUUGUACGGAACGAAAAGCCCUGGGUUAAUACCCUGGGGUCAUGACGGUACCGUAAGAAUAAGCACCGGCUAACUACGUGCCAGCCGCCGCAGUAAAAC